GGGACAGCAGCACCUUCAAAACACCACAACCUCCGAAUCUGACUUCUUAGGAGAACUUUCUUCUGUGCAGGCUGAAAAAUGCUAAUGAGGAACCUUGAGGCUCUGAAGGAGGAAGGAAGCGUAACCUCUCUGCGGGGAAGAGCCUCAGACACUGAAGAUUUCACUGCUCAACACAAAGCGGAGCCCUCACAAGAGAACAAAGACCCAAAGAAGUGACUAGAGCAAGAAUCUUUUAUACCUUUUGGACAAUGAAAAAUACAUGUGUGGAAAAUUGACAAGAUGAAGGAGUUUGGUCUCGGGCUAAUAAAUAGUGCAAUACACGGUGAA